rnacentral:rRNA from 1 species
UACGGGGGGGGCAAGCGUUGUUCGGAAUUACUGGGCGUAAAGGGCUCGUAGGUGGCCAACUAAGUCACACGUGAAAUCCCUCGGCUUAACCGGGGAACUGCGUGUGAUACUGGAUGGCUUGAGUUUGGGAGAGGGAUGCGGAAUUCCAGGUGUAGCGGUGAAAUGCGUAGAUAUCUGGAGGAACACCGGUGGCGAAGGCGGCAUCCUGGACCGACACUGACACUGAGGAGCGAAAGCCAGGGGAGCAAACGGG